rnacentral:rRNA from 1 species
UACGUAGGGGGCAAGCGUUGUCCGGAAUUAUUGGGCGUAAAGAGCGCGUAGGCGGUCCGGUAAGUCGGCUGUGAAAGUCAAGGGCUCAACCCUUGAAAGCCGGCCGAUACUGUCGGACUAGAGUCCGGAAGAGGCGAGUGGAAUUCCCGGUGUAGCGGUGAAAUGCGCAGAUAUCGGGAGGAACACCAAUGGCGAAAGCGGCGCACUGGACCAUAACUGACGCUGAGGCGCGAAAGCUAGGGGAGCAAACAGGG